UACGGAGGGUGCAAGCGUUAUCCGGAUUCACUGGGUUUAAAGGGUGCGUAGGUGGGUUUGUAAGUCAGUGGUGAAAUCUCCAAGCUUAACUUGGAACUGCCGUUGAUACUAUAAAUCUUGAAUGUUGUGGAGGUGAGCGGAAUAUGUCAUGUAGCGGUGAAAUGCUUAGAUGAUGAACAUAGAACACCAAUUGCGAAGGCAGCUCACUAACA
rnacentral:rRNA from 1 species